rnacentral:rRNA from 1 species
AUGGUUAAGUUAGAAAGGGCGCACGGUGAAUGCCUUGGCACUAGGAGCCGAUGAAGGACGGGACUAACACCGAUAUGCUUCGGGGAGCUGUAAGUGAGCUUUGAUCCGGAGAUUUCCGAAUGGGGAAACCCACUGUUCGUAAUGGAACAGUAUCUUUAUCUGAAUACAUAGGAUAUUGAAGGCAGACCCGGGGAACUGAAACAUCUAAGUACCCGGAGGAAGAGAAAGCAAAUGCGAUUUCCUGAGUAGCGGCGAGCGAAACGGAAUUAGCCCAAACCAAGAGGCUUGCCUCUUGGGGUUGUAGGACACUCUAUACGGAGUUACAAAGGAACGAAGUAAAUGAAGCGACCUGGAAAGGUCCGUCGAAGAAGGUAACAACCCUGUAGUUGAAACUUCGUUCCCUCUUGAGUGGAUCCUGAGUACGGCGGAACACGUGAAAUUCCGUCGGAAGCUGGGAGGACCAUCUCCCAAGGCUAAAUACUACCUAGUGACCGAUAGUGAACCAGUACCGUGAGGGAAAGGUGAAAAGCACCCCGGAAGGGGAGUGAAAGAGAUCCUGAAACCGUGUGCCUACAAGUAGUCAGAGCCCGUUAAUGGGUGAUGGCGUGCCUUUUGUAGAAUGAACCGGCGAGUUACGAUCCCAUGCAAGGUUAAGCUGAUAAGGCGGAGCCGUAGCGAAAGCGAGUCUGAAUAGGGCGUUUAGUAUGUGGUUGUAGACCCGAAACCAGGUGAUCUACCCAUGUCCAGGGUGAAGUUCAGGUAACACUGAAUGGAGGCCCGAACCCACGCACGUUGAAAAGUGCGGGGAUGAGGUGUGGGUAGCGGAGAAAUUCCAAUCGAACCUGGAGAUAGCUGGUUCUCUCCGAAAUAGCUUUAGGGCUAGCCUCAUGUUGUGAGAGUCUUGGAGGUAGAGCACUGAUUGGACUAGGGGCCCCCAACGGGUUACCGAAUUCAGUCAAACUCCGAAUGCCAAAGACUUAUCCAUGGGAGUCAGACUGCGAGUGAUAAGAUCCGUAGUCAAAAGGGAAACAGCCCAGACCACCAGCUAAGGUCCCCAAGUAUACGUUAAGUGGAAAAGGAUGUGGAGUUGCUUAGACAACCAGGAUGUUGGCUUAGAAGCAGCCACCAUUUAAAGAGUGCGUAAUAGCUCACUGGUCGAGUGACUCUGCGCCGAAAAUGUACCGGGGCUAAACGUAUCACCGAAGCUGUGGAUUGACAUCUUUGAUGUCAGUGGUAGGAGAGCGUUCUAAGUGCUGUGAAGUCAGACCGUAAGGACUGGUGGAGCGCUUAGAAGUGAGAAUGCCGGUAUGAGUAGCGAAAGACAAGUGAGAAUCUUGUCCACCGAAUGCCUAAGGUUUCCUGAGGAAGGCUCGUCCGCUCAGGGUUAGUCGGGACCUAAGCCGAGGCUGAAAAGCGUAGGCGAUGGCCAACAGGUUGAUAUUCCUGUACCACCUCCCCGCCGUUUGAGUAAUGGGGGGACGCAGUAGGAUAGGGUAAGCGCGCUGCUGGAUAUGCGCGUUCAAGCAGUUAGGCUGAUGAGUAGGCAAAUCCGCUCAUCAUAAAGGCUGAGCUGUGAUGACGAGGGAAUUAUAGUACCGAAGUUCCUGAUUCCACACUGCCAAGAAAAGCCUCUAGCGAGGCGGGAGGUGCCCGUACCGCAAACCGACACAGGUAGGCGAGGAGAGAAUCCUAAGGUGAUCGAGAGAACUCUCGUUAAGGAACUCGGCAAAAUGACCCCGUAACUUCGGGAGAAGGGGUGCUCUGGUAGGGUGUAUAGCCCGAGAGAGCCGCAGUGAAUAGGCCCAGGCGACUGUUUAGCAAAAACACAGGUCUCUGCGAAGCCGCAAGGCGAAGUAUAGGGGCUGACGCCUGCCCGGUGCUGGAAGGUUAAGAGGAGGGGUUAUCCUUUGGGAGAAGCUCUGAAUCGAAGCCCCAGUAAACGGCGGCCGUAACUAUAACGGUCCUAAGGUAGCGAAAUUCCUUGUCGGGUAAGUUCCGACCCGCACGAAAGGCGUAACGAUCUGGGCACUGUCUCAACGAGAGACUCGGUGAAAUUAUAGUACCUGUGAAGAUGCAGGUUACCCGCGACAGGACGGAAAGACCCCGUGGAGCUUUACUGUAGCCUGAUAUUGAAUUUUGGUACAGCUUGUACAGGAUAGGUAGGAGCCUGAGAAGCCGGAGCGCUAGCUUCGGUGGAGGCGUCGGUGGGAUACUACCCUGGCUGUAUUGAAAUUCUAACCCGCGGCCCUGAUCGGGCCGGGAGACAGUGUCAGGUGGGCAGUUUGACUGGGGCGGUCGCCUCCUAAAAUGUAACGGAGGCGCCCAAAGGUUCCCUCAGAAUGGUUGGAAAUCAUUCGUAGAGUGUAAAGGCACAAGGGAGCUUGACUGCGAGACCUACAAGUCGAGCAGGGACGAAAGUCGGGCUUAGUGAUCCGGUGGUUCCGCAUGGAAGGGCCAUCGCUCAACGGAUAAAAGCUACCCCGGGGAUAACAGGCUUAUCUCCCCCAAGAGUCCACAUCGACGGGGAGGUUUGGCACCUCGAUGUCGGCUCAUCGCAUCCUGGGGCUGUAGUCGGUCCCAAGGGUUGGGCUGUUCGCCCAUUAAAGCGGUACGCGAGCUGGGUUCAGAACGUCGUGAGACAGUUCGGUCCCUAUCCGUCGUGGGCGUAGGAAAUUUGAGAGGAGCUGUCCUUAGUACGAGAGGACCGGGAUGGACACACCGCUGGUGUACCAGUUGUCUUGCCAAAGGCAUCGCUGGGUAGCUAUGUGUGGACGGGAUAAGUGCUGAAAGCAUCUAAGCAUGAAGCCCCCCUCAAGAUGAGAUUUCCCAUAGCGCAAGCUAGUAAGAUCCCUGAAAGAUGAUCAGGUUGAUAGGUCAGAGGUGGAAGCGUGGCGACAUGUGUAGCUGACUGAUACUAAUCGAUCGAGGACUUAACCAAAA